CCAUUGUAACCUUGAGCUCAUCAAAUACGGGAGAAAAUAAACUUGUUUCCAUGGCUUUAGCUUCACUUAGAGGAUUAAGUCCCAAUCAAGCGCAUUUGUCACCAUCUGCUGAGCUGUGGUCCCUGACCUGCAGGCUGUCCCUGGCGUGGAGGCGUGUCUCAGCAGUCGUUCGCAGCUGAGGGGGAGGGGGUCAGAGGGUCGAGCUUUGGAGCCAGCCGAGCUGGAGUGAAAAAUCCCUGUCCCGUUCCAGGGGACGGCGGCAGAAAGCCAGCUUUAUCUGCUCCUAUGCCUCCAUGGCUGCGUCUUCCCUGUCCAGCAUCUUGGAGGCGUACCCUGGGAGGCACCGGGCUCUGAGGGUGGAGCCCAGGCCCGACGCACGGCUGGCGUUUGAUCGACAUCCGUGGGUGUCGAACAAAGAAAGAAGCAAAGGCAGGGAGUGGUCACUCGUCCAGGGCUCGGAAGACCCAAGGCCCCGAGAGAGGAGCUCCUGUACUCACCCCCAGCGCCGCCCUGGGGCCACGCUGACUGCAGUCUGCGCUCCGUCCACUUCAGAGGGGGCCACAUGACUGUCCAAGUUGCUGGCAGCUGCUGCCUCUGUAGGGGGACCAAACUGGCUGUUCCUUCCGCUGGCCAGUGGGCGUCACCCAAAACACAGCCUCAUCCAGACGCACCUCCAUCCUCGCACACCCCAAGUCCGUCUCCGUGGGCUGAAUUCAAAAGCAAAACGUGAGAAACCCUGGCCCAUCGUGAAAUUUUCCAUCUUCAAAGCAACGUCGCUGCAAACAAGGGGACAGCCCCAUGCCAGCAGGCGGUUCUGGUUCUGGAGGAUUCCCUCUGAUCAGGGCUCUGAGCCGUGUGGUAGUGCCCCGUCAGCAUUAAGCUGUGCGGUGUUUCCACCCUCGAAGCAGCUCGUCUGCCUGCUUUGAGGGUCAUAUCCUGAGCGUGACAAAGCUGAGCGGGGACAACAUCUGAACGGGGCCGUGGGCGUCAUGAUCAAUGCCCUGUGGUCGCCGGGAUUUUAGGACUCCCAGCUGCUGGACACUUACUGCUGAUUUUCUUGGAGUGAAAACGCGUUUUAGUUCAUUUCAGCCUCUUCUGUGAGUUAGAGAAAUUCCCCAUUUCAGAUAAGUAGUUUAAGAAAAAGACAAUGACUAAGCGUGCACUUUAUGUAACAACCAUUAAGAUAAUUUGACGCUCCGUCUGAUUCAGGGGACAAUUCUCUUGAAAAAGAGACACUCUGCUUUCUUGAGCAUUUCCAAAAGACCGAAAAUUAAAUCUCUUCCCCUAUAAGAAGAAAAAGCCUGGUUUUCCAUCUAAAUUAUUAAAAUUUAGCUGAAGUAGGAAAACAGUCCUUCAAACCAUGCAGGAGCGGAGUCAAAGCACAGAUUCUGUUCUGAAAAAGGUGGACGUUGCCUGGGCGUUAACUCACCAGGCGCCAGUGCGCUUCAAGCAGAGGCUACCGUGACCCCACGGUGCGGAGGAGGAAACCGAGGCGGGGGCGGGCAGCCCCUCACUCACAGAGUAAGUGACACCCCUGGGCAGCCUCCGUCAGCACCUGUGUCUGUA
rnacentral:lncRNA from 1 species